rnacentral:lncRNA from 1 species
UAAAUAGAGGGGUUGUCAUAAAUUGAUUGAUGGGCUUCAAGGGGCAGUUCUGGAGGUAAGUGUAUUACCUUGUUAUUUCUUCCAGUUUCUUGAACAUGGUUUGUUGCUCAUUGUUAUUUUAUUUUGCUGAAUAUUUGUUCUUGGUUUUGGAAUCAAUGUUCUUUUCGUUAUUAGUAUAUUUUAUUGGUCUUGUGGGGUUGUCUUAAAUUUCAUUUUUUUUAUCUCAUUUUUGCUCUUUAAACUUUCUUGAUAACAUUUGCUAUUUUUGUCUUGUGAGGUAGUCUUAGAUUAAAUUUAUGAUCUGGGUGGUGUUUGACAUUUGCUUGUUUAUAUCAUUUAAGUUGUCUUAAAUUUUAUUGUCUGUGGAAGUUGGAAGGAGGACUACAGUGCUUGGGGUUGGAUG